GGUCUUGACAUCCACGGAAGUUUUCAGAGAUGAGAAUGUGCCUUCGGGAACCGUGAGACAGGUGCUGCAUGGCUGUCGUCAGCUCGUGUUGUGAAAUGUUGGGUUAAGUCCCGCAACGAGCGCAACCCUUAUCCUUUGUUGCCAGCGGUUAGGCCGGGAACUCAAAGGAGACUGCCAGUGAUAAACUGGAGGAAGGUGGGGAUGACGUCAAGUCAUCAUGGCCCUUACGACCAGGGCUACACACGUGCUACA
rnacentral:rRNA from 1 species